rnacentral:rRNA from 1 species
AUUGAACGCUGGCGGCAUGCCUUACACAUGCAAGUCGAACGGUAACAGGUCUUCGGAUGCUGACGAGUGGCGAACGGGUGAGUAAUACAUCGGAACGUGCCCAGACGUGGGGGAUAACGAGGCGAAAGCUUUGCUAAUACCGCAUACGAUCUAAGGAUGACAGCAGGGGACCGCAAGGCCUUGUGCGUUUGGAGCGGCCGAUGGCAGAUUAGGUAGUUGGUGGGAUAAAAGCUUACCAAGCCGACGAUCUGUAGCUGGUCUGAGAGGACGACCAGCCACACUGGGACUGAGACACGGCCCAGACUCCUACGGGAGGCAGCAGUGGGGAAUUUUGGACAAUGGGCGAAAGCCUGAUCCAGCAAUGCCGCGUGCAGGAUGAAGGCCUUCGGGUUGUAAACUGCUUUUGUACGGAAAGAAAAGGCUCUGGCUAAUACCUGGGGCACAUGACGGUACCGUAAGAAUAAGCACCGGCUAACUACGUG